rnacentral:rRNA from 1 species
GACGAACGCUGGCGGCGUGCCUAAUACAUGCAAGUCGAACGCAUUUUCUUUCACCGUAGUUUGCUACACCGAAAGAAAAUGAGUGGCGAACGGGUGAGUAACACGUGGGUAACCUGCCCAUCAGCGGGGGAGAACACUUGGACACAGGUGCUAAUACCGCAUAAUUCCAUUUACCGCGUGGUAGAUGGAUGAAAGGCGCUUUUGCGUCACUGAUGGAUGGAGUCGCGGUGCGUUAGCUAGUUGGUGGGGUAACGGCCUACCAAGGCUGCGAUGCAUGGCCGGCCUGAGGAGGUGGUCGGGCACACUGGGACUGGGACACGGCCCAGACUCCUACGGGGGGCAGCAGUAGGGGAUCUUCGGCAAUGGACGGAAGUCUGACUCAACACCGCCGCGGGGGUGGAGGAGGGUUUCCGGUCGUAAAACUCUGUUGUUUGAGAAGAACAAGGAGGAGGGUGAAAACUUCAUGCCUUGACGGUAUCUAAACAAAAAGCCAUGGCUAACUACGUG